GGGUCAGUAGGUUGGUCGUGCCACCGGUACGUACUGGUCUCACUGAUUCCUCCUUCCUGAAGAACCGUAAUGCCAUUAAUUUGGUGUUGCGGGGAAACAGGACUGUUACUUUUAAAAAAUUAGAGUGUUUAAAGCAAGCUAACGCUUGAAUACAUUAGCAUGGAAUAAUGAAAUAGGACGAUCGAUCCUAUUUUGUUGGUUUAUAGGAUUGGCGUA
rnacentral:rRNA from 1 species